ACGAAGGGGGCUAGCGCUGCUCGGAAUCACUGGGCGUAAAGCGCACGUAGGCGGAUUGUUAAGUCGGGGGUGAAAUCCUGGAGCUCAACUCCAGAACUGCCUUCGAUACUGGCGAUCUUGAGUCCGGGAGAGGUGAGUGGAACUCCGAGUGUAGAGGUGAAAUUCGUAGAUAUUCGGAAGAACACCAGUGGCGAAGGCGGCUCACUGGCCCGGUACUGACGCUGAGGUGCGAAAGCGUGGGGAGCAAACAGG
rnacentral:rRNA from 1 species